AAAGGCCAAAACAGGAGGGAGCUUUCGACAUUGAAAGAAGGGGUUCCGGGGAUGUCCGGAAAUGCAAUCAUCUCUGACUUCAUACCGACGCCCGCCUUGUGGCGGGUGACUGCAGAGCACCUGUGGCCGGGUAAGCCGAAGAGGGGGAAGCGUCUCAUGGUGGAGGUCCAGGAGGAGGGGAAGGCCGACUUCCAGGAGUGCAACGACGAGUCCGAGGAGGACGAGUUCGAUGCCAUGUGGUUCUCCUUUGGAUCAAAAUCCAUUAUUUCCCGAGGUAUUAGACGCGAUCUUUUCCUCGAAUUUUGAUGUUGUAGGUCCAUAUUUUUGUUGAUCUUUUACCAUUAUUUUGCUAGAUCCUAUGAAAUGGAUUUCAUUUUUAUUAACGAGUUAUUGCGAAUACACGAUCUAGAAACUAGAAGAAACAAAUAUGAUUAAACAGUCGAUUUCUAGGUUACUUAUGAAUUGUGGAAAUCCGGAAGCGUAACAUGAAACAACUAAAUUGUAGAUCUGAAGGUUUCAUUGAUCAAAUAUAAGUUUUUGUGAUACAUAUAUUUACAUCAAUGUGCAUGACUGUUGCUUGUGCUUGUGAUUUCAAAUGGAGAGAUACUGGAACUCUGGUAGUCAAAAUCGUAUUCUUUGGAUGUCUUAGCAUAGAAAGAUAGAGACCUAGUGACUAUGAGGACUGCUGGUAGUCAAUUUGUAUUAGAUUUCUGUAUGUCUUUUUGGGAGAAAAGCCUUAAUUUGAUAUUUGAUCUACCUAAUCACUAGUUUCACUGUUUCUUCGCUAGUCUAACCGAGUAAAUGUUUGGAUGUACAUUAUUGCUUGUACCUUGAUUAAAUUUAUAAUUUCUUAUAAAUUUGAUAUCAUGUAGCAAGUGCUAUAAUGAAUACAGGUGACCUUUUUUUUUAUGAUGUGAUGAAUGAUGAAAGUAAACAUCAAAGGAAGGAGUCUGUAAGAUAGUGUUUAUACUUUUGAUAUAACCAAAAGAAAAGAAAAUCUCUUUGUUAUUAGAAAAAGGUGGUGCUCAAGAGAACUCUGCAAGAAAGGGAUAUUCCAAGUUCAUCAUUUCAGAGCUUUUACCAUAGCACUUCAAAAUUUUGUUUGGUUUGCAGAGGGCUCAAUGACCAAGUCUGUAAAUUUUAAUGGAUCUGCUGCUAAAUCAGCUUUAAAAAAAAAAGAAUCAGUACAGAGGAAUCCGACAAUGCCCAUGGGGCAAGUGGGCAGUUGAAAUCAGGGAUCCUCACAAAGGGGUUCGUGUCUGGCUUGGAACCUUUAACACUGCUGAAGAGGCUGCCAGAGCCUAUGAUGUUGAAGCCUGUUGAAUCUGGGGUAAGCAAGAGAAGGUGAACUUCCCUACUGCACCAUUGUUAGGUUCAACAAAAUUCUCACCAAAACCUACUGCACAAAAAGUUUCAAAACCAAAAGUGUCAGAGACGAUUGACUUCAAGCAAACUAUUAAGUACCAGAGUGACCAAAAGCUUGAGCUCUAUUUAAGGUUCAUGGAGGACAGGGAACUAACCAAGCCUGACUACUCAGAUUCUCUUAUCACAAUACCUGCAGCACCUUCAGAAGUAACCGGACUGAAUUUCCAGUCAGAGCAGGGAAGUAAUUCUUUUGGUUAUACAGACAUUGGAUGGGAGCUUGAGGCCAAGAUGCCAGAUAUCACAUCAAUUCUUGCUCUCACCAUAACUGAAGGUGAUGAACCUGAAUCAUUCGAUGAUAUCAGCCUGUGGAAGAAAGUGAAGCCUAAUAAUUUUAAAGAGGCAGUGCCAGCAGAGGAAAAUGCUGCAGCCAAACUCUCAGAGGAGUUAUCUGCUUACGAAAUACAAACCAUAUAUGAAGUUCCUCCCUGAGCCUUACUUUGAGGGUAGUUUGGAUGCAUCGAUUGACAGCUUAUUUGGUGGUGAACUGGUACAGGAUGAUGUGGACCUUUGGAGCUUUGAUGACUUGCCAACUAGAGCAUCAUGUACUGAGGGAUUCUGAUCCUUGCCAUUGUCGUUCUAGAAAAGAACAAAUGAAUCAAUAUUGCUGAAGGAUAUGCAGAACUGGAAACAGUAGCCAGAUAUAAUAAAUUCAUUGUAAUUUGAUUUGCACUAGUGCCUUCAAGAACACCUUUGAUUGUAGCUGUAUGAAUUGUUUCACUUUGUGGUUUCUUGGAUGUGUUUCUCAUUUUAUGAUGAGUAAUGCUUUCUUUUAAGUCAAUUCUUUCAGAUUCUGCUGUUGCUUUUACCAGAUUCAUUUUGAGAUUGAUGAUGAACACAAGGGGUUAUAGCAGGGUUGGGACCAAAUGUGUAUUGUUAUUAUUUUUAUAUGUUGUGAAUUCGAUCUGAUACUGCCUACUAAUGGUCUGCCAUGACUUCAAUAGUUCUUAAUUGUUAAUGGUUCAUGAGCUUCAAAUUCUAGUGGUUAUUGGCCUACAAGUCUAUGUUUCCAAAUGUUAUGUCUAUGAUAAUAUUUUAAAUUAUUUGCAUCUGCUUGUUUUAUAAAACUGGUUAAUUGUUAUCUAGGAAGCAUAGAUAUUGCUUGAUGAAAGAUGGCUUUCAAAACCCAGAGGCAAUCACAUGGGUGGCAAUUAAGGGAUUGGUGGUCUUUGACAAAAUGUAAUCUAAAUGUGCUGUGAACGCUGUCAACUUUCAAGUUUGCAUCUUUUGUACUAGCAUCAUUGGUUAUUUCAGUGAUAAUUGAAACAACAAGACAGCAGUUGCAGAUUCUUUUGUUGUCUAUUAUGCUGCAUCUUGAUCUAGCCUAUAUCUUUGGUAAUAAAAGAAAGGAGUCAGAACAAGGGUUGUACUUUUGUGGCUUGUUGUGGAGAGAGCUUAGUUUUUUUGUGGAUUCAUAUGGAUGGAGACUACCAUUGGGAUUGGCAAAAAACAAGAGUUGGUUUUCUCCUGACAGUUUUGGAAUAACUACUGGAAUAAAAGUGGUUUUAAUUUUUUCUUGCCUUUGUUAAAGGCAAGUUGUGGGGACUUUGAUAUAUUUAACUUUCACUCGAUGUUGCUUCUCCCUUCGUUCAAGGAAGGGACCAGCUUUGUGGGGACUGUGAGCUUGUUUUACCAUUAGUCUUUUUGGUAAUCUGCUUUACUUGGGAUUCCUUUUUCUUGAUUUCAUAAAUCUAGUUAACCGUAAUCUAUAUUUUCAAUCACCACAGACACAGCUCUUCUUUGUUAGCUUCUGACCUUGAUCUUGUUUCACCAUCAAUCAUUUUGGUAAUCUGCUAUACUUCAGAUUCCAUUUCUUGAUUGCAUAAAUUUAAUACAUCUAUUUUUAAGCAGCACAUGCAUAGCUCUCCUUCGUUAGCUUUUGACUGAGCUUGUUUCAACAGUAAUCUUUUUUGUAAUCUACUGUUAUUGGGUUCCAUGUCCUUGAUUGCAUACAUGUAGAUAACCUAAGUAAAUAUUUUUAAGCAGCACAUGCAGAGCUCUUCUUAGCUUCUACAGAGAUUUGUUCACAAUGCUCAUGUUUCCUUUUUGCUUGAUUGCAUAAUUAUACCAAAUUUAUUCUUAAACAGCAAAAGCAAAGCUCUUAUUUGUUAAUUUUGUAUACCGAAAUUUGUUCAGUGAGCAUGGAUAUAAACACUGACAUGCUAGUUUAUGUUUUGCAUUGACUAGAUCAUGUUCUAGAUCUCACUGUAUUGGAACAAUAUGAUAUUGUGUCGUGUUUGCUUUUGACUAAUAAAACAUCUAAAUGUUAAUAAGCAAUCAUUCUAUUGAAUAGUUUUUCAACUGAUAAUGAGGAUUAAAUUGGAUUGCAGGGUGUAUGGAUCGAUGCAGGUUGAAGAUCUGGUUAUGUUGGUGUCUUUUCUCUUAAAUGAUGGCUCCAGUUAUUCCCCUUUCGAAGGAAAUGAAUGAUUCCACCACAAACAUCAUCUUCUCAGGCACUUAAAGAUUUGGGGAAAUCUUUGUCGUUCUUGAUAAAUAUCUGCUUGUAUGAGAUGUUCGUUGGCCCACUCUGCUUUUAGAGUUUUAACAGCUUGAUUGCUUGAACUCCCUGCGGACCUUUGUGUGACUUGAUGGAAAAGCUAUGCUUCAGGAGAAUGGGGCUGCCCUCCUGUAGAUCAAACACCCCACCUGUAGGAGAAAAAACUCUGAUCAAAAUUCACAUUUUUACAGUGCAAGCAGCUUCCCUAUCACUCGCUGGGAGGGUACAUGGAUUGACGCAAAGUUGUAGUGGUUCAACAUCUGCACACCUGCCAACAAAGUAGAAACAUGCACUCACUACAAGUGAGAAAGAACUCCAUGGCCUCUUUGGUGAACAAGCAAUCUCAACAAUUCCCCACGACACAAGUCUCCCAAGAUUAGCUCUGGCAGAAUGAUAUCUGCCCACUGUUGACUGAAAACAGACAAGGAGAACGGGAAGACGAGCAGCAGUAGUUGCCUUUCCCGACCACAAGCUUCACAAGUUUUGCACUUAGUAAAACCAAGGUUCGUCAUUUCGGGUACCGGACCCGUCUCAGAGAUUUAUCGGUAUGGUACAUAUCAGUCUGCACCGAUAUACCGGUGUACUGACACAUGGUACGCCAAGACCUGCUGAUGUGGAUUCGGACAAACUGUAUCUCGAUGACGAGUCGGAUCGAUACGUACCGCUCAUACCAUACCAAUUCGGUUGGUACAGCAAACCGUGGGUUUGUACAGGCCAGCUCAGGUUGUUGCUGCGAAGCCUUCAUGGUGAAGGAUGGGUUGCAAUCACACGACUACUGGUAUAAAGUGAUGCUGCCAACUUGGUGGAGGUUCUCAACAAAAAGAAACCAUUCCCUUGACGACAGCAUAAUAUUUUUGAUGCAAUCAGCAUCAAUCAUAUACAGGGAGACCAACAAAGAUGCCAAUUGGGUGGCUGGCUUUUCUCGGACCUUCAGAUUCAUGCACAGAUAGAUGGAACUGUAGAUGUAUACUGAAAGGGCUGUCAAUUUUUUGAAGCAUGCUCGGACUAGAGAAAGUGAGAAGAGGAAAGGAGAGGGGGUGUAAGUUAGGUUUCCACUAUUUGCACAGUGAUCUGCUGCUGCUGAGUUCCCCUGCUGUCAUUAUCAAGAAUCUCCCCACAGUGAUUGAGCUAUAGAUCGGCAACUUGUUCCAGACAUGAUCACUUUACGAAGGUUGGCAAGCACCCACAAACUCCUUGUCUCUUUGUGAAAACCAGAUCAACAUUGUAGCAGGAGUCCAUCCCAUGUCAUGGAUUUUAUCUUGUUUGCAUCUGGAAUCUGAAACACAAAGUCCGAUUCAUGUCUUCUUUAUCUUAUCAUGUCACCAUAACUUAUAUCUGAGUUCCUAUCGUAUGAAAGUAAUAAGAUCUUGCUAGAUCUACAACUUGAGUUUUUGGAUUCCCUCGACAAUUUGCUCAAGUUAUAUCUGCAGUUUCCUGCAAGGUUUUCCAGGUGCUAAUCCUCUUCAAUCAUGCCUUCAACUAUGGCCGUUCAAUUCUCCUAUCAGUACUGUCAGCUGAUCUCGAUUCUACCCACCACUGAUGAGUCCAUGAAGGAUCACAACUCCUUUGGCUACUACUAUUGGAUAAGCUUGUCUGCAUCAGUUGUUCAUAGACUCGGUUCGACCUACAAGUCAAUGACUUGCCAACUCUGAUCUACUUUUCCUCUGAUGAUGAAGUUUACCUCUGUUUGCAAGAUCGAGUGUCAUCGUGGCUUAAUAGAAUUAUUGUGAUCCUGAAGCCAAAUGUCACACAAGACAUGCUGCCUGCGUCGAUCAUUAAUCUUUCCUUAAUCGUUCAGGCAUAUGUGCUGCUAUUUGUGCUUGAUACAUGCAAACGUGCUGUCUACUGGAACAAAGAACUCGA